AUGACAGCGCUUUUAAUUGUGUUUUCUGAUUUUGCGGCAACGGGAGGGAAUACCACUCCGGAGAAAGAACCCCCUACACAUCACAGGAGGUCUCCGGCACCUCCAGCAGCACAAAGCUCCAUUCCUACCGGGCUGCAGCCAGCUGCUGACACCCCGCAGGUCCCCGUGCGCCGCUCAGCCGCCGCUCCCCACGCUCCCCAGCGCAGCCCGAUGACAGCGGCCUCCCGCAGGCACUCCUGCCCCGGCCCCAACUCCCCCCGACCCCCGCAGAAGGUGCGGGCAGGGCCACCACAACAGGUGCCCGCCGCGCUGACGGCCCCGCUCCCGCCACCCUCCUCUCCCCGUUCCCAGGCCGGGCCGAGACCCCGCUCCCGCCCACCGCAGGGCGUUGCGCAUCAGGGCGAGAAGAACCGGGCGAGCUCCCUUCCUUCAUCCCCGUUCCCGGGGCCCGGCUCGCUCGCAGCCCGGCAGCCUCUCCCGGACACCGACGCGGAAAGGGCCGCAGAGGCCGCGGCCGCUGCCCAGGCCUGUCCCAUUAGGGGGCGGCGGAGGGGAGGGCGGGGAGGAAGGGCAGCCCCAAGCCCGCAGCGGUUCCGCGCCCCGCCAGCGUCGGGCAGCGGCCCGUCGGGCCCCGCGCUCUCCCCGCCGCUUCUCUCUAAGAUGGCAGCGGCGCUGCCCCCUGCGCUGCGCCCCCUUCGACCGCGCCGGGCCGGGAGGUGGCACCCGCCGGUCCCGCUGCGCAGCGCCCCGCCGCCGGCUCACUCACCGCGCGAGCCCCGCGCUCCGGCCCGGCUCCUCCCGGCGGCGGCCUCUCCUCUCCUCUCCUUUCCUCUCCUGCUGGCGCGGCGGGGAGAGCGAGGAGCGAGCGCUUCUUCUUCUUCCCCCGGCCUCGGCCCGGGGCCCCGGCGCGGCGGCGCCUCCCUCUUGCGCGCUCCGCAGUCCGUCCGGCCGCUCCGCCGCGCUCGGGCCCGCACGGCCGGCGGCGGUGCCGGUGCCGAUCACAGGGUCUACCCGCUGCGCGCCUUCUUCUCCGGGCGGCGGGGAGAAGGAGGGGGGGCCCGGCCCGGCCCGGCGGGCGGAUCCGCGGCGCUUCCUGGCCGGGCUGGAUUUUCUAUCGCUCACAAAAUGGCGCGCGUUCCAAACCUGCGCAGCGCCCGGCGGCGGCAACGGCGGGGCCCGGCCUCGCCUCGUCUCGGUGAGGUGUUCUUCGGAUUUCUCGCCUUUCAGAGGGGAAGCGGGAAAGGGGAAAAUAAAAAAAAUAAAAAAUAAAUUAAAAGAAAACCACCACCACGGUUCGGGCGGGAAAGGGUUUUAGCUUUUUUCGGUUUUUUUUCUUUUGGGGGGGGGGGGGGGGGGGGGGGGGGGGUGGGGGGGGAAAGAAAAAAAAAAAGGCGAACCGACAAAAUGGCGGCGGGGCGAGCUCGUCGCUGUGGCAACUGUCCGUCAGGGCGCCCUGCUGCCCCACCCCGCCCGGGCGGGCGGGAGGGAGGGAGACGGCGCUGACGUGGGGAGGGAGAGAGCGGGCGACGGGUAAAAGGCGGGGCUGCCGUCGCCUGGCAACCGCUGCUUCCCCGCCCUCCCCCGGGCCUCGGUGACGUUGUGACGCUGGCCGUGCGGCCGCGGUGCUGCCGACCGGGAUGGCUCCGGUUCGCCUGGCCGUGAG
ensembl:lncRNA